rnacentral:rRNA from 1 species
ACGUUGAAAAGUGCGGGGAUGAGGUGUGGGUAGCGGAGAAAUUCCAAUCGAACCUGGAGAUAGCUGGUUCUCUCCGAAAUAGCUUUAGGGCUAGCCUCGAGGUAAAGAGUCGUGGAGGUAGAGCACUGUUUGGACUAGGGGCCCUUCUCGGGUUACCGAAUUCAGAUAAACUCCGAAUGCCAUGUACUUAUACUCGGGAGUCAGACUGCGAGUGAUAAGAUCCGUAGUCGAAAGGGAAACAGCCCAGACCACCAGUUAAGGUCCCAAAAUAUAUGUUAAGUGGAAAAGGAUGUGGGGUUGCAUAGACAACCAGGAUGUUGGCUUAGAAGCAGCCACCAUUGAAAGAGUGCGUAAUAGCUCACUGGUCGAGUGACCCCGCGCCGAAAAUGUACCGGGGCUAAACAUAUUACCGAAACUGUGGAUGAACCUCUUCGGAGGUUCGUGGUAGGAGAGCGUUCUAAGGGCGGUGAAGUCAGACCGGAAGGACUGGUGGAGCGCUUAGAAGUGAGAAUGCCGGUAUGAGUAGCGAAAGAAGGGUGAGAAUCCCUUCCACCGAAUAUCUAAGGUUUCCUGAGGAAGGCUCGUCCGCUCAGGGUUAGUCGGGACCUAAGCUGAGGCCGAUAGGCGUAGGCGAUGGACAACAGGUAGAUAUUCCUGUACCAGUGCUAGUUGUUUGAGCAAUGGGGUGACACAGAAGGAUAGGGAAUCGCACAGAUGGAAACGUGCGUCCAAGCAGUGAGUGUGAGAAGUAGGCAAAUCCGCUUCUCGCGAAGCAUGAGCUGUGAUGGGGAAGGAAAUUUAGUACGGAAGUUCCUGAUUUCACGCUGUCAAGAAAAGCCUCUAGUUAGAUUAGUACUGCCCGUACCGCAAACCGACACAGGUAGAUGAGGAGAGAAUCCUAAGGUGAGCGAGAGAACUCUCGUUAAGGAACUCGGCAAAAUGACCCCGUAACUUCGGGAGAAGGGGUGCUCUAUUAGGGUGAAAGCCCGAGAGAGCCGCAGUGAAUAGGCCCAGGCGACUGUUUAGCAAAAACACAGGUCUCUGCAAAACCGUAAGGUGACGUAUAGGGGCUGACGCCUGCCCGGUGCUGGAAGGUUAAGAGGAGUGCUUAGCGCAAGCGAAGGUACGAAUUGAAGCCCCAGUAAACGGCGGCCGUAACUAUAACGGUCCUAAGGUAGCGAAAUUCCUUGUCGGGUAAGUUCCGACCCGCACGAAAGGCGCAACGAUCUGGGCACUGUCUCAACGAGAGACUCGGUGAAAUUAUAGUACCUGUGAAGAUGCAGGUUACCCGCGACAGGACGGAAAGACCCCGUGGAGCUUUACUGCAACCUGAUAUGGAAUGUUUGUACCGCUUGUACAGGAUAGGUAGGAGCCGAAGAGACGUGAGCGCCAGCUUACGAGGAGGCAAUGGUGGGAUACUACCCUGGCUGUAUGACCAUUCUAACCCGCCACGCUUAGCGCGUGGGGAGACAGUGUCAGGUGGGCAGUUUGACUGGGGCGGUCGCCUCCUAAAGAGUAACGGAGGCGCCCAAAGGUUCCCUCAGAAUGGAUGGAAAUCAUUCGCAGAGUGUAAAGGCACAAGGGAGCUUGACUGCGAGACUGACAAGUCGAGCAGGGACGAAAGUCGGGCUUAGUGAUCCGGUGGUUCCGCAUGGAAGGGCCAUCGCUCAACGGAUAAAAGCUACCCCGGGGAUAACAGGCUUAUCUCCCCCAAGAGUCCACAUCGACGGGGAGGUUUGGCACCUCGAUGUCGGCUCGUCGCAUCCUGGGGCUGUAGUCGGUCCCAAGGGUUGGGCUGUUCGCCCAUUAAAGCGGCACGCGAGCUGGGUUCAGAACGUCGUGAGACAGUUCGGUCCCUAUCCGUCGCGGGCGCAGGAAAUUUGAGAGGAGCUGUCCUUAGUACGAGAGGACCGGGAUGGACACACCGCUGGUGUACCAGUUGUUCCGCCAGGAGCAUCGCUGGGUAGCUAUGUGUGGCAGGGAUAAACGCUGAAAGCAUCUAAGCGUGAAGCCCCCCUCAAGAUGAGAUUUCCCAUUUCUUUAAGAAAGUAAGAUCCCUGAAAGAAGAUCAGGUAGAUAGGUUUGGAGUGGAAGUAUGGCGACAUAUGGAGCGGACAAAUACUAAUCGAUCGAGGACUUAACCAAU